CUCCCCGGGCCUGCGUGGGUUUUCUCCAGGUACUCCGCUUCCUCCCACAUUCCCCAACCGAGGGACACUUUAGAGUCUAAAGCAGUGGUCCCCAAACUACGGCCCGCGGGCACAUUUAACCCGGCCCUCUAACCCUCCUGUUGUCCUCGGGUCAAAAUGACCCAUCACUGUGUUAAAAACGCCCCAAAAAAACCCUAAAUGAUAAUUUUUUAACUUGAAAUUUUAUUACUUUUCCUAGAUUGUCCCCAACUGCAGAAAAAUUGAAAUGUUUUUAUUCACAUUUCCAUGGAAGCUGUACAAAAAAAAAAUAUAAAGGUGGUCUUCGGGUCAAAAUGACCCAUGACGCAAAUAGGGUUGAAAUCAAGGUCACAAAGUUAUUUACACACCAUAGAAUGUUUCAGUGUUUUAGUUGUGUCUCAGUUCAAUUAGUAGAACACGUGAACAAGACAGUAGCAGACAUAAACAAGACAAGAUAGCUCCCCUACGAUCGUCACACUUUUUCUGUUACAAACUGACACCGGCCCCCCCAUCAGAGACUGCCCCGAGUGCUCCGAC